GCAGACUCACUCUGUGCUCAACUGCAGCCUCCAGUUUCUGCACUUUUUCUGUCUGCUAAAUAAAGACCAGUAUCCUUUCUACACCUUUUCUGUUCCAGAGAAAAUCUGUUUGUUUUGAUACUGGGAUAUAAAC